AUUGAACGCUGGCGGCAUGCCUUACACAUGCAAGUCGAACGGCAGCACGGGAGCAAUCCUGGUGGCGAGUGGCGAACGGGUGAGUAAAGUAUCGGAACGUGCCCAGUCGUGGGGGAUAACGUUGCGAAAGUUACGCUAAUACCGCAUACGAUCUAUGGAUGAAAGCGGGGGAUCGCAAGACCUCGCGCGAUUGGAGCGGCCGAUAUCAGAUUAGGUAGUUGGUGGGGUAAAGGCUCACCAAGCCGACGAUCUGUAGCUGGUCUGAGAGGACGACCGGCCACACUGGGCCUGAGACACGGCCCAGACUCCUACGGGAGGCAGCGGUGGGGAAUUUUGGACAAGGGGCGAAAGCCUGAUCCAGCCAUGCCGCGUGCAGGAUGAAGGCCUUCGGGUUGUAAACUGCUUUUGUACGGAACGAAAAGGUUUGGGCUAAUAAGCUGAGCUCAUGACGGUACCGUAAGAAUAAGCACCGGCUAACUACGUGCCAGCAGCCGCCGUAAAAC
rnacentral:rRNA from 1 species